CCUUUGUUACUCGGAUGUUUUUGAACUGCAACUCCCAGAAACCCCAGCCAGCACAGUUGGUGGUGAAGGCUUCUGGGAGUUGCAGUCCAAAACUCCUGAGUAACCCAAGGUUAAGAACCAGUGCUUUAAACCACUGAGCAGUUUCAAACCAUUUGAAAUAGAAUGAGCACAUGCUGUAUGGCCAGUAAAAACAUCAUGAAAUAUUAAAGCCAUAAAAUUAUGUUUAAUUAAAAAAAAACAGUGUCAAGCUACUUUUUUUUAAUUUAAACAUAAUAUUAAAUAGGGUACCAGGUUCCCAUGGAGAGGACUAUUAGCAUAUACUUGUCUAUUACAAAUCUUAAUCACAAUUGAAUGUUUUCUUGUUUCUUUUCCUUUUUUUCUCUAUAAAUUCUUCAGUAGGAUUUCUACUCUUCAAUCCUUACUAGGAGUUUGUGGAUUGAGCGAGGCCCACCCCGGUUCCCAUCAUCUCAUUUUAGGAAAAAUGGAGGUUAUGUUGGAGGACAACACAGGUUUUUCUAACAUUACAAUAAAGCAGGAAGAAGAAGAAGAAGACAGGCCAGGGGACCAGGGAUCUGAUGGAAGUGUAAGCAUGGCUAGCAGCCACUCAGGUGAGAGAGUCAUUCACAUAAACAGAAUCAUAAAAUGCUGCCUUGUGUGAGGAAUUGGUUCAUAAAAAAAGCAAAGCAAAGUGUGCUGCUUAUAUACCACCCCAUAGCACUUAAAGCACUUUCUGGAUGGUUCACAAAUUGAUUAUGCAGGCUACACAUUUGCCCCCACCUCACGUAGCAAGCUACUACUCACUUUACCAACCUCAGAAGGAUGGAAGGCUGAAUUAGACUUGUCACUUUUUUUCUGAGGGCCUCUUCAUUCUUUGUCAGCCGGUGAAAAAUGUUGUGGUCCAGUAAUUCUUGUGGUUCUAUAUCCACCAAGCUU
rnacentral:lncRNA from 1 species